rnacentral:rRNA from 1 species
GAUGAACGCUGGCGGCGUGCCUAAUACAUGCAAGUCGAGCGAACGGACGAGAAGCUUGCUUCUCUGAUGUUAGCGGCGGACGGGUGAGUAACACGUGGAUAACCUACCUAUAAGACUGGGAUAACUUCGGGAAACCGUAGCUAAUACCGGAUAAUAUUUUGAACCGCAUGGUUCAAAAGUGAAAGACGGUCUUGCUGUCACUUAAAGAUGGAUCCGCGCUGCAUUAGCUAGUUGGUAAGGUAACGGCUUACCAAGGCAACGAUGCAUAGCCGACCUGAGAGGGUGAUCGGCCACACUGGAACUGAGACACGGUCCAGACUCCUACGGGAGGCAGCAGUAGGGAAUCUUCCGCAAUGGGCGAAAGCCUGACGGAGCAACGCCGCGUGAGUGAUGAAGGUCUUCGGAUCGUAAAACUCUGUUAUUAGGGAAGAACAUAUGUGUAAGUAACUGUGCACAUCUUGACGGUAUCUAAUCAGAAAGCCACGGCUAACUACGUG